rnacentral:rRNA from 1 species
CAGUCGAACGGCAACGCGGGGCAACCUGGNGGCGAGUGGCGAACGGGUGAGUAAUAUAUCGGAACGUACCCUGGAGUGGGGGAUAACGUAGCGAAAGUUACGCUAAUACCGCAUACGAUCUAAGGAUGAAAGUGGGGGAUCGCAAGACCUCAUGCUCCUGGAGCGGCCGAUAUCUGAUUAGCUAGUUGGUAGGGUAAAAGCCUACCAAGGCAUCGAUCAGUAGCUGGUCUGAGAGGACGACCAGCCACACUGGAACUGAGACACGGUCCAGACUUCUACGGGAGGCAGCAGUGGGGAAUUUUGGACAAUGGGCGCAAGCCUGAUCCAGCAAUGCCGCGUGAGUGAAGAAGGCCUUCGGGUUGUAAAGCUCUUUUGUCAGGGAAGAAACGGCCUGUUCUAAUACAGUGGGCUAAUGACGGUACCUGAAGAAUAAGCACCGGCUAACUGCGUGCCAGCAGCCGCG